rfam:Zostera marina strain Finnish scaffold_25, whole genome shotgun sequence.
AUGGAUAUGAUGAUCCUUUCCCCAAAUGAUCGACAAUGAACAAACUGUGCGAUUUUUUGUUUCCGUUUACGGAUUCCAAGCCAGACGUCUGAUCCUU